rnacentral:rRNA from 1 species
UACGUAGGGUGCAGGCGUUAAUCGGAAUUACUGGGCGUAAAGCGUGCGCAGGCGGUUUCUUAAGUCAGAUGUGAAAGCCCCGGGCUUAACCUGGGAACUGCGUUUGAAACUGGGAGACUUGAGUGUGGCAGAGGGGGGUGGAAUUCCGACGUGUAGCAGUGAAAUGCGUAGAUAUGUGGAGGAACACCAAUGGCGAAGGCAGCCCCCUGGGUCAACACUGACGCCUCAUGCACGAAAGCGUGGGGAGCAAACAGG